rnacentral:hammerhead_ribozyme from 1 species
AUCCAGCUGACGAGUCCUAAAUGGGACGAAACGUGCGUCCUGGAU